GAUAGCGGCAAACGGGUGAGUAACACGUGAGCAACAUACCUUUAAGAUUGACAUAGCUUCGCGAAAGCGGAGGUAAUUUCAAAUAAGACUACGUUCUGGCAUCAGAAUGAAGUCAAAGCAGGGGACCGCAAGGCCUUGCACUUAGAGAUUGGCUCGCGUCCUAUCAGCUUGUUGGUAGGGUAACGGCCUACCAAGGCAAAGACGGGUAGCUGGUCUGAGAGGAUGGUCAGCCACAUUGGGACUGAGACACUGCCCAGACUCCUACGGGAGGCUACAGUCGAGAAUCUUUAGCAAUGGACGAAAGUCUGACUAUGCGACGCCGCGUGAGGGAUGAAGGUUUUCGGAUCGUAAACCUCUUUCGGUUAGGAAGAAUUUCCUUGGUAAUAAUAUUAUCAAGGAUUGACGUUACUAAAAGAAGAAGCCACGGCCAACUCCGUGCCAGCAGCCGCGGUAAUACGGAGGUGGCGAGCGUUACUCGGAUUCAUUGGGUGUAAAGGGCAGGUAGGUGUCCUAUUAAGUGGGGGGGUGAAAUACUUCGACUCAAUCGAAGAACUGCCUUCCAAACUAGUAGGAUUGAGGGUGAGAGAGGAAAGCGGAACUCUCGGUGUAAGGGUGAAAUCUGUAGAUAUCGAGAGGAACACCAGUAGCGAAGGCGGCUUUCUGGAUCACAACUGACACUGAACUGCGAAAGCUAGGGGAGCAAACAGGAUUAGAUACCCUGGUAGUCCUAGCCGUAAACGAUGAGUACUUGGUGUCUUGGGCUAAACUAAGGUGCCGAAGUUAACACAUUAAGUACUCCACCUGGGGACUACGGCCGCAAGGCUAAAACUCAAAGGAAUUGACGGGGGCCCGCACAAGCGGUGGAACAUGUGGUUUAAUUCGACGAUACGCGAAGAACCUCACCAGGACUUGACAUGUAGGUAGUAAGAACCUGAAAGGGGGAUGACUCGUCAAGCCGAGUGCCUACACAGGUGUUGCAUGGCUGUCGUCAGCUCGUGUCGUGAGAUGUUGGGUUAAGUCCCGCAACGAGCGCAACCAUCAUCUUUUGUUGCCACCUUGUUUUUGGGAAACUAAAAACAGGAGCACUCUAAAGAGACCGCCCGCGAUAAGCGGGAGGAAGGUGGUGAUGACGUCAAGUCAGUGCGGCCCUUAUGUCCUGGGCUACACACGUGUUACAAUGGAGUGUACAAAGGGUUGCCAAGCCGCGAGGCGCAGCUAAUCUCAAAAAACACUCCUCAGUUCGGAUUAGAGUCUGCAAUCCGACUCUAUGAAGCUGGAAUCGCUAGUAAUGGCGGAUCAGAUACGCCGCCGUGAAUACGUUCCCGGGCCUUGUACACACCGCCCGUCAAGCGAUAGGAGCUGGGGGCACCCGAAGUCCUCAUUUAUGAGGCCGAAGGUGAAACUGGUGAC
rnacentral:rRNA from 1 species